GUCCCGCCUGCCCACUGAUUUUGAAUUCAACGGCCGCGGUAUUUUGACCGUGCUAAGGUAGCGUAAUCACUUGUCUUUUAAAUGAAGACCCGUAUGAAAGGCUCAACGAGGGCUUAGCUGUCUCCUCUUUCCAGUCAAUGAAACUGAUCUCCCCGUGCAGAAGCGGGGAUGAAAACAUAAGACGAGAAGACCCUAUGGAGCUUUAGACACCGAAGCAGACUAUUUUUAAUAACCCUAAACAAGUGCUAAAUCCACUACUCAUCUGCUCCAGUCUUAGGUUGGGGCGACCUUGGGGAAAUAAAAAACCCCCAUGUGGCGGGGAGACCUACAAACCACACCCUCCCUAAAAACCAGAAGUACAAUUCUAAUUAACAGAACCUCUGACCAAAAUUGACCCGGCCUUUUAGGCCGAUUAACGAAACAAGUUACCCUAGGGAUAACAGCGCUAUCCCCUUUUAAAGUCCAUAUAGACAAGGGGGCUUACGACCUCGAUGUUGGAUCAGGACAUCCUAAUGGUGCAGCCGCUAUUAAGGGUUCGUUUGUUCAACGAUUAAAGUCCUACGUGAUCU
rnacentral:rRNA from 1 species